CUACUUUGCCUUUUCCUCCUUAUGCCGCCUUAGUGAGGGGCGGGAGCUCUGGCGGCAACUCCGGGGUGGAGAAGCGAGCUCCGGAGUCGGAAGAGCGGUGUUUGCUUCCGGGCCUAGCCACCAGCUGGCCGAGUGACCUUAGGCAAGUCACUCAGUAAUUUGUCUGCGCCUCAGUUUCCUCCUCUAUCAACGUUUGUGGGAUUGAAAGCGCUUUGUAAACCAUAAAGCGUCAGUGGAUGAAAGGAAUGAUCAUUGUUCGUUAUGGUUGGCUUUUUUUUUUUUUUUUUUUUUGGAGUUGUAAGAAAACUUAGAAAUUCCCAAUCCUUGGAUAUUGAACCUGGAAACCUUGGAUUGGAGAUGGAGUUCCCCAAACUCCCUGAAAUUGUGUGCAGAAGUUAGUGGGAAUAUGCAAUUUAGGGAAAUGAGGUUCCAUCGCCAGCAAGUUUUCAGAGGGGGCUGUGACCCGGAAGAGUUAAGAACCACAGUUCCUUUGCCACAAGGAGGAAACUGAGGCCUAGAUGUCAUUUGGGACCCGUCACAACCAAGUUGAAGCCCCUGUUGAAUCCCUGGGAUAUGUGAGCUGUCUAUGCAUAGUGAAUAUUCGGGGUAACAACACUCCACUGCUUGGCUUCUGAGUCCUUUCACUAUGGGUUGCCUGAAGGGCGGCUGAUGCUUAUGGUACAGUGGCACCCAAUAUAAAGCAGCUGAAACUAGGAGUGGAUGUGUUCUCUAGUGUCAAGAAGCCUAUUCAAUCUUUGGCCCAACAACUUUUUAUUUUCUGGUGCCUGACUACCUUUCUGACUCUUUCAUUGACCAUUUUCCAUGACCAUGGUUGCCAUCCGUUACUUGCUCUUGUUUUAUUUUCUUAGCUCCGUGUGGUUGGUAGUGAGCAGGCUUAUUUUUAAAUGGUGCUGCCAAGUCCAGCUAAUUAAUGGUGCAGGUGGGUUUUUAGCAAGCUGUCUCACUGGAAUAGACUGAACUAGACAUGGAAUUCCUGAAGAUGUUUGUCUUUAUUAAUUGAAAGUUGACAUUCUCUGAAAAGUUUUGUUGGAACUUCUUCUGAACCUCAAAGUCAGUAGUUGGAACUGUUUCAAACCUUAACUUUCCUCCCCGCCUGCUUUGUAUUCUCUUUGCUUGCAAGUGUGUUAUUAAGAUGGCCAAAAUGCCAGUUUUUGCUUCUUUGUUAAUUGUCAGCUGCUUUUUAUCAGAUUCCAGGCCAUUGUCCAGCAAACACUAUAGAAAUGUUUGAACACUUGGAUUUCAAACAUUUUCGUUUUGUGGAGUGGUGCUUACCGUGGUACAGCUCUAAGUAAGCAAAUGCAAACACACCUAAGUGUUUUGUCUGUUAGGUGUUAGCCGGUUCUGCUAUUUCAUACAAAUGUCUGGAAAAAAUCUAUUGACUGUUCCCUUUACCUGGAGGGCAGAGACAAAUGAUCUCAAUUCCAGAGAAAUGACUGUUUUGAAGACAAAUGUGUUGGUCUUUUAGCUCUUUUGUAAUUAAAUCUGGAUGUACCUCAAAAGAAUCUUGAGACUGUGGUGAUACGAUGCUUUCCUCAGGAGAAAGGAGGAAAAAACCAACUGGAACUCAAAGCUUGAAAUUCUGUGACAAAACAUGACCUGUCCAGAAUAGGAGGUUGAAAGGGUUUCACUACAGCGUUCUGCACUCGCUGGAACCCAUGUCUUUCAGUGUAGUCACCGCAUGGGCUCUAGAUUUCCAGAAUUUCAAGAACUGCAUCUGGGACCUGGAAGAAAAUACCAGGGUGUGACAGGAACUCGGGAGCUGGACUUUUUUAUUUCUGAAUUUGAGGACUGUUGUCCUUGUUUUGAAAAAGAGACAAUGACUGAGCAAGCACUGCCACCAGCGCUGUUACUGGGAAUUCGGAGACCUGAGUUUUCACCAAACCCUCAGUGCAAACUCUGGCGAUGCUCCAUCCAAAGUGAACUACGUCCUGUGCCUCCUGGUUGCCGAGUGUUCACCUGGAUCUUCUGAUCACCUUUGUGCUAUUCCAUCAGCCUACAGAUCUGGUACCUGGAUUUUUGCCCAUGGUGAUGGAUUCUGCCACCUCAUUACUGAAGACGACAUCAUUCCAGUGGACCACUGUGAUCUAGGAGGCGUAUCCAGCGAAUCAUCAUGAUGUGGCCUUCACCUCCACUCCUGUCCUGUUCCGCCCAGAUUCAACACAGCCUUUUGUAGUGAAGUUCAACUUCUCAAGCCAAAUAGCUGAAGCUGUUUUAUCACAACAAAGGUUCAGCUUGUUCCAUAAGUGUGCAUUUCGUUUCUCCAGUUAAAGCUUUCAGAGACGCAUAAUAAAUUUGGACCAGGGGAUUUUUAGUUAUCAGCACUGUCUGAAGAAUGGCAGCAUCUUUUUGAAAACCAUAUUGGACCAUGCCCCACUCUCAAAUGAUUGAAAUUCAAGAAUUGUUUAAUCUGGACCCCAUUUUUUCUCCAUUUCAAACCUGUAGUAGCCUACUGAAUGAGCAAGCAGAUAUUCUGACCUGUUGGGAUUAAAACAAAGGCACAGUGAACUCACAGCAUCUUCUUUGGGAUUACUCAGGAACCAGAACUUUUCCCACAAAUGUAAGAAAUUCUACCAAGGAAUCCCUUUACCUAACAGCAUCUCACAAAGCUCCAAUCAGAUUCCAGAAAAGGCCUCUUGAUACAUCCAGCAUUUUGUGAACAACUUACUCUUAGAUCAUUGGUUUUCCAAAGGCUUUGUGGCCAUGAAGCCCUUUGAAGGAAAACUUUAUGGAAGCCCAGAGUAAAAGUGAAGCUGCUCUGGAGGAAGCAGAAGUGGGGGGCCUGAAACCUGCCACAAGCGUCUUUCUUUACCACCAUGGUGACCCCUAAGGAGACUUCUUUACAACAACUAGAAUUCUUCAGAACACAGUUUGGAAACCACUGCCCUAGACAACAGUAUGUUCGACCUGAAUGGCAUUCUGUUCUGUACCUCCAUCCAGCACGUCGGUGUCCAGUUGAUAAUGAGCAUUCUUAGGAAUACUCAGAGAAGUGCAAGAAGAUAAACUAUCUUUGCCCCCAAGAUUAGUCAUAUGGGCUGAAAGUAAUAUCAAACGGACCUAGAGUAAUAGCCCUCUAACCACAAAUGAACUUCCAGUGAUUCCUGAAUGAUACAGUGAGAAAGCAAUUCGUACAUUACACUGACAAACCCCCUUAUUCAACUUCUUCCACAAACACCAGAUGCUCUAGUGGUACUUAAAAAUGCAUGACCUUGAAGUCUUGAUCCUCCUUGAAUACAUAAAACACCAAGUAUUGAAGCUGAUGUUAAAGUUGAUGCCUCAUUGAGGCAGUAUUAGACCAGCUAUACAUUGGACCUCCUCCCAUCCUCAGCCAUGGUACUCUACUUCGUGUGCAAGAGAUAACCAUAAACUAUGAAAGCAGAAUUCAGAGACUGGCAACAUAACCUAAAAGGGCACCUGAUGAUUAUUAUCUUCUCCAACUACAUCACUAUCACUCAGCCAUUGGCAGUUACACUACUACUUGGUUUUUAUUCAGUUUCACUGCUGUUCCCAGGAUACAGAAGCAAGUAACCUUUGAAAAACUGCUAAAACAAUUCCUCCAUCACUGGCAUAUCUGCCUGUUCUGCUCAAAAAUUAGGAGUACUCAGCUCUACAUGUAAUACCUGAUCCACAAGAGACGGUCUCUGAACAUCCUUUUCUUGAGUGUGUGAUUUAAAAUGUGGCCAUUGUAAAAAUUUUCUUCCAGCCAAUGAGAGAGUUUCAGAUGAAUCCUUUGAUAUCUGAUACCAUCAGUUGUUGAUGUUAAUGGUAUUUAGAGGUAGGCCUUUGGAUCAGGCCUUGAUAGCUUACUUGGUGGGCAUCUCAAAUUGCAUAUCUACCUUUUUGCUGGAAAUGUAGACUAACGUGAAAGGAAAUCUACAAAGCCUGCAGCUAAAGAGUUUUAUCAAUGGACUCGAGCUUCUUGAGUCUUCCUAAUGUCACAAGACCACAGACCCUUGUCCUUGUGGAUGUUUCCAUGGAAUUUCAUCUGUUGUUUUAACUGAAUCACAGUGGCUGACUUCAUCCCUUGUCGUGCAAUACUCUCAGGCAUUAAGACGUCUGUUCAGGAGGGAUUUGAUACAUGAACUUCCAGACCAGAUCAUGUAGAACAAGUAGACUUUAAUCCAUGCCCUGAGAAAAAUCUUACUUCUUCAGAGUCGACAUAAGGGCCAGCUGUCCUCAACUACUUUAAUGAAUGCACUGGUUAAAAGUUGGGAAUGUUUCUUUAUAUCUUUGUCUCUUAUCCUCUAGACUAAUUGUGAUUAUGUGACUCAGUGUACAAAUCAUCAAACAAAGCCUAAGUCUGGUUAUUCUGUACUGCUCAUCUUCAACAAAAUCUGAUAACUAGCCUGCUAGUGUAUAUACAACUAUUAUUUGUAAAGAAGAAGUUGUCUACAAACUCGGUUUUUUCACUACCUUCAUAAUGUCAACUCGAUUUUCUCUUUCUCCUGGACUUGACCAGAAAAUACAUUUAUCUAUCACUGCCAGUCAUUCCCUUUAACCCUGUCAAAAUGAGACACUUAAAAGGUAAAGAUGAUCAUCUGUUCAAGAGUCUAAUGUACACUGUGUAUAAGAAUUGAUGGUGGAAAAAGCCUAAAACUCAAACCUAGUAACUUACUAUAUCCAUGCCUCAGAUCUCAUCUUUCAGCAGUACCAUUCAACCAGUCUGAGGCCUUGACUUGUUGAUAAGAUGAUUCUCAGAGAUGAGCUGAAUUACAGAAGAUGGAGACUUGAUUACCAAAGAAAGUAGGGCCAACCUUGAUGAACCUGGCUCUCCCAACCCUGUCACUCCCAGAUGUAGCAUAGACUCCUAAACAGAACCUCAAGUCUGGAUUUAAGAGAUACCUUCUCCUGAGCUGAACGUUCUUGGACAGAUCAGCAGGAAAGUGAAAGUUGCUAUACCUGACUGGCCCUUUAAGAUCAGAAAAUUGUAUCUAGAGGAAACCGUAUGGAUUAACCCUGGAAUACUCAGGCUUAAAACUAAUUUACAGAACUUCAACAUUAAACUGCCUAUUUUUCCAGAUCUUAGCCUGGCUACUGAUAUGACUGGCCCUGCUGAAGUUACCUUGCUUACUUGUCUACUUACCUGACUCAGCCAUUGCCUGCCUUUCUGACAUGUUGCUGCAAUCAGACACUGUCCUUCAGAAGACUACAGCUGAUCUCAGCUAUCUUAUAUCUGGUUCCACCAAGAAGUUUUGAACAGAAGCAACCUGUGCUUCUGUACCCUCCGGGACUUAAUGUUCACAACAGGAAGGAGCAUGCUACAUACUCCUUGACCAGCAGCUUUUUUUGUUUUGUUUUUAACUGCAGAGUAAGCCUCUAUGCCUAUAUAUAUUAGAUCAUCAUUUUCAACACUUGGGACCCUUUCUGCCAGAUCUGAAGGAGCAGAGCAGAUUGAAAGCACUGUCCAUUUCUCCAUUCUAUGGUCAUACAGAGAUGAAUCUGAUUUACCAGUAUUCAUAGAAGUGUACCAGUUUAACUUGGCAAAAGACUUAAAGGAGCAUAAAACUUUUCCACUGAACUUAAAAUUUACCACUGACUUGAGGAGUCUUACAGAAGUAUUUUCCAGUGGGAGGCUGGUUGUCCUGUUUCAUGUCAGUGAGACAGUUGGGCUCUCAGACUUACGACAACUGAGUUUACUUACAUUGAAACUCUUGUAUCAUCCAGAUAUGCUAUUGGACAUGAUUAUUCCAUUCAAAUGGAUUACAAGCCUCCUGAGUAGAAGACAAACUUAACUACUCAUGAUUUUUUCAAGAAUACUUUUAUCAUCAAGGAAGGAACAGUGCCAGCGGAAACCAUUCAACUUUAUGAGCAGAGAUUAAACUUUUUCAGUAUCUGGUCUUACCAUUGACUGACAUCAGUUGUUUUUGAUUGACCAGCCUCCAUUCCAUUCCUUUGUAACGACUCCCUGAUGCUUCUUCGAACCUCCUUUCCCUCUCUUCAGUCCACGUGGUUCAAUCUGACCUAAUCUUAGGUUUCAUGGGUGGACAUGUAAUUCAGACCUGAUCAAUCAGCACAGUCCAUCUCCUUGACCAUAGUGAUUGGUUCAGGAUUGAUCAUGUGAUUCAAGUUGGUCCCACGAUUCUCAACCCUGAGAGUUCUCGUGAACUAUGGGAGAGAAGCUCUUUACUGAGAUUGCUUAGCUCUGCAGGAUGAAAAGCUCAAACCAGCAGGGCCCAAAGUAUCAAAUGAGCCAGUCGGAGAAUGAAGCCAGUACAGAGGAAAACGGAGCCAGAUGAUGGAGAGACUUGAGUCCUGAUGACAAUGUGCCCCUGGAUCAAACUGUGCCUGAAGCUAGUAUAUCCCCUGGACUUUUCAGUUAUGUGAAUCAAUAAAUACCCUUCUUUGCUUAAGUUA